ACGAACGCUGGCGGCGUGGAUAAGACAUGCAAGUCGAACGAGAGAAUUGCUAGCUUGCUAAUAAUUCUCUAGUGGCGCACGGGUGAGUAACACGUGAGUAACCUGCCCCCGAGAGCGGGAUAGCCCUGGGAAACUGGGAUUAAUACCGCAUAGUAUCGAAAGAUUAAAGCAGCAAUGCGCUUGGGGAUGGGCUCGCGGCCUAUUAGUUAGUUGGUGAGGUAACGGCUCACCAAGGCGAUGACGGGUAGCCGGUCUGAGAGGAUGUCCGGCCACACUGGAACUGAGACACGGUCCAGACACCUACGGGUGGCAGCAGUCGAGAAUCAUUCACAAUGGGGGAAACCCUGAUGGUGCGACGCCGCGUGGGGGAAUGAAGGUCUUCGGAUUGUAAACCCCUGUCAUGUGGGAGCAAAUUAAAAAGAUAGUACCACAAGAGGAAGAGACGGCUAACUCUGUGCCAGCAGCCGCGGUAAUACAGAGGUCUCAAGCGUUGUUCGGAAUCACUGGGCGUAAAGCGUGCGUAGGCUGUUUCGUAAGUCGUGUGUGAAAGGCGCGGGCUCAACCCGCGGACGGCACAUGAUACUGCGAGACUAGAGUAAUGGAGGGGGAACCGGAAUUCUCGGUGUAGCAGUGAAAUGCGUAGAUAUCGAGAGGAACACUCGUGGCGAAGGCGGGUUCCUGGACAUUAACUGACGCUGAGGCACGAAGGCCAGGGGAGCGAAAGGGAUUAGAUACCCCUGUAGUCCUGGCAGUAAACGGUGCACGCUUGGUGUGCGGGGAAUCGACCCCCUGCGUGCCGGAGCUAACGCGUUAAGCGUGCCGCCUGGGGAGUACGGUCGCAAGAUUAAAACUCAAAGAAAUUGACGGGGACCCGCACAAGCGGUGGAGUAUGUGGCUUAAUUCGAUGCAACGCGAAGAACCUUACCUGGGCUUGACAUGUAAUGAGCAACAUGUGAAAGCAUGCGACUCUUCGGAGGCGUUACACAGGUGCUGCAUGGCCGUCGUCAGCGCGUGUCGUGAGAUGUUUGGUUAAGUCCAGCAACGAGCGCAACCCCUGUUGCCAGUUACCAGCACGUGAAGGUGGGGACUCUGGCGAGACUGCCCAGAUCAACUGGGAGGAAGGUGGGGACGACGUCAGGUCAGUAUGGCCCUUAUGCCCAGGGCUGCACACGUACUACAAUGCCCAGUACAGAGGGGGCCGAAGCCGCGAGGCGGAGGAAAUCCUAAAAACUGGGCCCAGUUCGGACUGUAGGCUGCAACCCGCCUACACGAAGCCGGAAUCGCUAGUAAUGGCGCAUCAGCUACGGCGCCGUGAAUACGUUCCCGGGUCUUGUACACACCGCCCGUCACAUCAUGGAAGCCGGUCGCACCCGAAGUAUCUGAAGCCAACCGCAAGGAGGCAGGGUCCUAAGGUGAGACUGGUAACUGGGAUG
rnacentral:rRNA from 1 species